UACGAGGGGGGCAAGCGUUGUUCGGAAUUACUGGGCGUAAAGGGCGCGUAGGCGGCCUUCUAAGUCGAACGUGAAAUCCCCGGGCUCAACCCGGGAACUGCGUCCGAUACUGGAAGGCUUGAAUCCGGGAGAGGGAUGCGGAAUUCCAGGUGUAGCGGUGAAAUGCGUAGAUAUCUGGAGGAACACCGGUGGCGAAGGCGGCAUCCUGGACCGGUAUUGACGCUGAGGCGCGAAAGCCAGGGGAGCAAACGGG
rnacentral:rRNA from 1 species